AUUGAACGCUGGCGGCAUGCUUUACACAUGCAAGUCGAACGGUAACAGGCCUUCGGGCGCUGACGAGUGGCGAACGGGUGAGUAAUGCAUCGGAACGUGCCCAGUCGUGGGGAUAACGCAGCGAAAGCUGUGCUAAUACCGCAUACGAUCUGCGGAUGAAAGCGGGGACCUUCGGGCCUCGCGCGAUUAGAGCGGCCGAUAUCUGAUUAGCUUGUUGGUGGGGUAAAAGCCCACCAAGGCGACGAUCAGUAGCUGGUCUGAGAGGACGAUCAGCCACACUGGGACUGAGACACGGCCCAGACUCCUACGGGAGGCAGCAGUGGGGAAUUUUGGACCAAUGGACGCAAGUCUGAUCCAGCCAUUCCGCGUGCAAGGAUGAAGGCCCUCGGGUUGUAAAACUGCUUUUGUACGGAACGAAAAGGUUUCUAUUAAUACUAGGAGCUCAUGACGGUACCGUAAGAAUAAGCACCGGCUAACUACGUGCCAG
rnacentral:rRNA from 1 species